UCACACGACAGUUUCCUAAGCUCCAUGUUUUCCUGGCCAUGUUCUCCACAAAUCACUCCUACAAAUGUUUCCCAACCAGUUACAGGUAGUUAUCGCCCCCCAUAUCUUCCUCCCACCUCGCCGAAAACUGCAUAUGCAACCUACGCUCAUCAUAAUCCUUCCUUUUGUAGCAAAAAUUGUGUUCAAUCACCUUCAUCCUCACUCAUAUUUCUUACACAAAGCCCUAAUUUUUUUCUUCCUUCUCGAACUCACAUCUAAAUUGGUGAAAUUAGAAGGUUCGUCCAUGUGAUCACAAUGCAUUUAACAUAAAAGAAGAAACGGAUGUGAAUCAAGCAACGAUGGAGGGUGGCCCAAAUUUUGGAGGGUGGAUUAUGAUGGAGGGCCACCCUCACUUUUUUCUUCAUUCUAAAACAUAUAUUACAUGAUGGAGGGUGGCCCAAAUUUUGUUUGGGGUUUUCAGCAGGUGAACGCUCCUCCAUAAAUCGUACUCCAUUGCUGGAAAGUAUCAGGUGAACGCUUCAAUCAAACGUGUUUUGGAUUAUCUGUGCAACCCAAUUCGAGUUUCCAAGUGCAGUUCUAUCAACCCCCACUACCCAAAAUUGCGGUACACUUUUCUUAUAGAAACCAUACAUCCAACACUCUGGUUCUCCAGACGCAGAAGAGGAAGAGCAAGAUUCGAGAGCUGACUCUUCGAGAAAUUAGCGACAUUAAGCCAUCACUAUCAUCUUCUUCAGCAGCAAUUUCAGCAAUUUCGUUAGCAUGAAAUUAGUUUAUUCGAUUGGCAGCAGGUGGCAGCACAUAGGUAGAGCAUCCACUUCAACUGUUAUAAGGUAACCAAUAUUUUUUUCCAUGUAAUUUUUUAUUUUUUUUUGUAAGUUGUUUGUUCUUGGGAUUUGAAAAUUUUACUGAAAUACGAGGCGGGUGUGUUUUACUUCAAUUUUUGAUGAUAGAAGGUACUUAUGUUUGAUAUUGGGAUAUGCUAUUGUAUGAUUUUGAUGUGAAGACUCAGAAACUAUGAUAAUGUAGUUAGAUAAUCAAUAGAUUAAAGCUACACAAAGUUGGAUUAUUUCCCUUUAUCAAGAUAUUUGUAGACCUGCCUGUUCAAAUAUUAUCAAAGCUGGAUUAGGAUUAUUUCACUUUAUAGACCUGUUUGUUCAAAUAUGAUUACUUUUUGGAUCAAUAUGAUGGUUAUGUGCCUGGGAUGUUUGAUCUGAUUUUAAAUAAUAUGUUUACUUUUGAAUUUGGCAACCGAGAAAAAGAAUGGGCAAUAAUAAAAAUUGUAUGUUGAGAAAAGAUGACCAUUGAAGUACCAGCAACAUAUAACAAUCAAGAUGCAAAUGCUGCAAGUGUUGGAAGUAAACAGUCGGUCAAGAACGUGAAGAAUCUGGAUUCGAGAACGGAUGAUAAUGUGUCGGAAACUGUAAAGAGCACGGCGAAACCGUGUUGGUUUGUGGCUUUGGUUCCUUGUGCUUGGAUGUGCGGUUGCUCGAGUUCGAAUGAUGAAUAUAUGGAGCUUCAGACAAGUGAAGAUGGCAUGUUUUACUGUAGUUUGUGUGAAGUUGAGGUUUUAAGUACAACAAGCAUUGUAGACUGUAGAGUUUGUGACAAAUGUGUCGAUCGAUUUGAUCAUCAUUGCAGGUUGGAUCGAGGGAGUUGACCUGCGAUUACAGAAACUAUUAUUAGUGUAAUAUUUUUAAUUUUUAAUAGAAUUAUCUAAGACUUUCUUUGCAUUGAAGGGUCGAAACUGGUUUUUUUUGUGGAUUAGAUGGGUCCUGUAACCUUUCCCGAUUGCAACACCAACACGUUGUACGUUACCAUCAGGUAAGUUUCUAUGUUGUCCUUUUUCACAAUAUAUAAGGGGUAGUAAAAUGGGCAGGACUGACAAGGCCAGAAGGUGCAACUUUUUGUUACAGGUCAGGUCUAACCGAACGCUUUUUAUGUGUAAAUUUAUUAAAUUUUCUUUGCAAAUAAUUACUAUUUGGCACAUUUCGUUUUAAGUUAUAUUUUUACGUGUUUGACCCGUUUGAGAUGAAACAUAGCUUGAAUUUACACUUCCAUAAGUGAAUGGGUCAAAGUUAGAAGACUGUUAUAUACCACAUCAAGUAGAACGCCAUGUAAAAUAUGAUCAUGUCACUAGCUUUUGAAGGUGACUCGUAUGUAUUUGUAAAAAAUAAUCCAGGCAUGGUUUGCAACAGGAGAUGCUGGUUGUUAUGGUGAUGCCACAUGGGGUUCAAGGUCGGUGGUCAUCACAGCCACGUAGACUUUGUAUUCAAAAGACGAAAUUUAAAUAUAUACAUGGAUGGAUGCUACACUUCAUGAGCUAACUGAUCUGGUAUGCCAAAUGAUCCAUAUUUGGACAAUUUAAUUUGUGCUUUGUGGUCGAAAGUGUAUUCCAUGUUCUUUUUUGUUCCUUGAACACGCUAUCCAUUAAAAAAAACACCACUUAGGAUCAAGUGGGUUAUGCAUUAUGUAUGUAAUAAAAUAUGGGAGUUCUUCAUCAAAAGAUAGUGCUGUUGUAUGUAUGUAAUAAAAUAUGAAAGCACUUUUAUUUGUCUGACA